GGCCAGUGGAACUGAAACACUGGAGGGAAGUCACAGGUAGAGAGACGGAGGGACUGAUUUGGGAGUCCUCUGGAUUCGGUGGACGAGCAGAGAAGCACGAGAUUUUCUGAGCCUGAGCUCUGAUUUCUAUGAAUAGAUCAGAAGCUGACCUCUAUGCAUUGUUGGGGUGCAGGAGAUGGAGCUCAGAGCGCAGUUGUAAUUGAACACUCACUGGGAGCGUAAUGGAAGACACAGAGACCUUAAUCCAGAGAGAUCGUUAAGGUCACCAAUAUUCAAAUAUUUUAAAAUUGCAUUCCAGUUUUAGAAGAGCCCAGCUCCUUUUUAUAUGAUUACUAUUAAGUUUGGCAUUUUUGAGACGUGUCUUAAAUCAAUACCUGUAAUACCUACAGACAUCAGUAGGGAGAAGAGUAUUGUAAACACGUACCCUUGCUGUAGGGUCCAUUUUAAAUGUCUAAACACUAAUCAAUAUCGUGAAAUUAAG